CUGGGCAAUGGCGGGCGCCCCUCCCCCAGCCUCGCUGCCGCCUUGCAGUUUGAUCUCAGACUGCUGUGCUAGCAAUCAGCGAGACUCCGUGGGCGUAGGACCCUCCGAGCCAGGUGCGGGACAUAAUCUCGUGGUGCGCCGUUUUUUACGCCGGUCCGAAAAGCGCAAUAUUCGGGUGGGAGUGACCCGAUUUUCCAGCAACGCAUAUGGCUAAUAAAACAUAUUGAGGAUGAAUGAGAAAACAACCUGGUUCCUGGAAGGAGAGAAACAAGGUGGAGUCUUCUCACAGAAACAAGGAGAAGGUCAGAGAGACCUCCGGGAGCAUCUCAUCUUGGAGACACCACAAGCUCAAGAGGCUGCAUUAGCGUUUUUUAUUGGAGGCAUUUUCUUUUCCUCCAGAUUUUGUUUUUGACUGUUAAGGUCAUAGCUACAAACAAUUGAUCAAGCCUAAAAGGGCAUUUAUAAACCACCUGCAUCUACAUUUUUUUCUUACUGUGGAUGGAUUUAAAAAGCCGUUUCAAGAUGAAAUCUUAUGAGUCAUUAUCAUGUCUUCUGAGGGCUGAGAUAUAACUUUGAAGUAGAGCCCAAACAUGAAGAUCAUGAAGAUGGCUUCUUCUCCAAAUGAUGUUAUCUUAAAAACUUGAAAAAGACAAAAAAAAAAAAAAAAAAAAAGAAGAAGAAAAAGAAAAAAGAAAGAAAAAAAGAGAGAGCGAGCCAAGGGAACUUGAAUCAGACAAACCUGGUUCAAAGUGAUUAUUCAACAAAUGUAAGCUGUUAUCAUCUUGUCCUCCAUCAUUCAAAUAUGUCCUGUAUAGAUCUUCCAUUAAUUUCAAAUAUCUAAUGAUCUACACCAUCAAAUAUUAUGAAGGUGAUGUUUAGCAGGUCAUUGGCUAAGACAGGCUCUACCUCAGUCUCUAAUAGAGAAGGAAAGACAAGUAGCAUUUACUAACACCCACAGUAUGCUUCAUAUUGUUGCCAGAAAUUUCAAAUGCACCAUCUAUUGAUGCAUGGAAUCCUUUCAACAUUCUUAGAAGACAAGACCUCCACCCUCUGCAAAACAUCUUCCCAGGAUUAUGGGAAGUGCCCAAGAUGUGGUCACGGGUGUACCACAGCCAGUUGGCUUCUGUGGUACUCUGCCGCUGCGCCUGCCUCCACUUCUGUGGUUCAUCCCCAACUCCCAUGGAAGUUGGAGCACUUUCACGGAACCCUGCGGUUCUUUCCAACAUGCAGCAGCCACCAGCCACAGUCACCUGCAACCACAAAUCAGCAAAGCCCCACAGCCCCGAAUCUCCACUGAGGUUUGUAAUGAAGUGGGACUUCAAGUUUAAGUCUUUCUCCGAGGCUAUUACGGCCUGCCAGUAGGGGCUCUCCAUGUGCACUGCUCAAACCAUUAUGCUCUAUAACUGUUUUCAGUGUAAGGCUCUUUACGCUUUGUUAGUAAUCUCUUGCUCUCCGGAGCCCAGAGAGUGACAGAUUCGUAACAGACCCCUGUUCACUCCUCGUUGCCUCUCCCCUGUGCUGAGAGGGCUUCUCAUUGGCUCAGGUGCAUCCCCUGUGCUGCUUCUCCCCUCAGGAUGCCCUCUUCAUCUAGAGGUUUCUCCAGGGAACCUGCCUGGCUCACUCACCUAACAAGCUAAGAAAUGUCUGAACCGUCUUUAAAUUCAAGCCAGGAGCCUAGAAGUAGUCCUAGGGAAAACGAAACAAAACAAAACAAAACAAAACAAAACCAACAAACAAACAAACACGACUGGAAAGAAAUACAUGGAGAAGUUAACAGGAGGGCUCCUUGGAGAGAUGGUUAAUUCUGGGGCUGGCCUGGGAAGGAUGAGAUGAGGCUGAAGCACCUUGCUGUGCCGGAACAUCAGGACGUGCUCAAAAAGUGAUGAGGCCAGGGCCUGAUGGAAGAGGCUCCCAGCAACCAAACCUGCCAAGGUUUGAGCACCAAAAAAACAGCAACAGUGAUUCUAUAACCCAUGAGAAUAAAAGAAUCAGUCCAUGAUGACAUAGGUAUGUAGAAAUUAUUGUGGAGUGACGUGGCAUGAUCUCAGCUUACUGCAGCCUCAACCUCCCGGGCACAGGUGAUUCUCCAACCUCAGCCUUGGAGUAGCUGGGACUAU
rnacentral:lncRNA from 10 species